CGGUUGUGCUGACCCCUGUGAAUUCCCCACAUGCGGGAAUCUCAACUGCAUAAUUUGUGGUAGUGGGGGACUGCGUUCGCGCUCUCCCCUCACUCUUGUGUCCAAUAGCAAAUGUAGACGGAGGGGCUACUCGCUUUUCCUUUCUCUUUCGCCCCCACUUGCGCUACUGCUUUCUCUCUCUCUCACUCUCCUGUGCUUGCUCCCGCUCCGCGCUUACAGGAGUCCACCUGUAUAUUGAUUACAGGGCGGCGUGUACCUGUAUAAAGGGAAGCCGGGUUUUCUCGUUGGAUUAUUUCCUCCCGAGCUUCUGGUGCGAUACAGCGGUAGACGCUGGCUUGUUGGUUAAAUUACUGAGGCGAUCAGGUCAUGUGAUUGCUACAGGUAGGUCUCCCCUUCGAUUUCUGAUUUCUCCCUAACGUCGGCAAUUAGUAGUUAUAUUUUUGCGGCCCGCUACAGCGCGGCUGUUUUUCUUUCCUUUGCUCCAGCCGUGGUGAGGAGACGCGUGAGUGCAUCCGCCGUGCAGUACAGUGCCUCCAAGUUCUGGGGGUUUGAUUGCUGCCGUGCCCUCUCGGGGACCAACCGCCUGCUUUGGUUACGUAGAGAGUCGGGCGCCUGCUCUGCUGCUGUCUUGUUUUGUUGAUCUUGUUUGUUUGAUUUUGUUUUGCCCUGUUUUGUUUUGUGUUGUUUUGGUUAUAUUACGGUUAAUCUGUCGGCGGCCCGGUUUUUCCUUGUAGCUUGCCUUGCCACGCCCUCUUGGACUAUCGUUCGCUCCAGCUUUUUGUGGCUGGCCGGGGCGAUUCUCGGCUGUAUAUUGGGCUGGUUAUACAAACUGGUACUGCCUCUCCCCUUUCUCCCAGCUGUGGGAAGUUGUGUGAGACCGAGCAGACCAAGGACAAUCGGACCCAGCACCAGCUGUGGGCUGGUUCGCCGAGCGAAAGUAUUUCUAACCAGUGCUCUGUGGUGUAUAUCUGGGUGUGUUGUAUCACAGACUUUGGUUUUCCUUUAAUUGUUUCUUUUUUUUGUUUUGUAGGUUGAGAGCCUGUUUGUGUCCCAUGUUUUUCACCUUUUAAUGUGUAUGUUCUGUAUUUUUAUUGUAGUGGACGGAGGAUCUACCAGCGGCUGUGGGACCGUAGGUGGUGGGUCGUUUUCCACGCUUCUUUUGUUGUACAGCACCAGGUGAAAAGACUGUAGUAGGUUUCCUUUGUGUGGUUGUGCUGACCCCUGUGAAUUCCCCACAUGCGGGAAUCUCAACUGCAUAAUUUGUGGUAGUGGGGGACUGCGUUCGUGCUCUCCCCUCACUCUUGUGUCCAAAAGCAAAGAUCCAUGUGUCUGCUCUUCUCUCCGUCUGGCCUUUGAACUGGGACAAAAUGCAAUGGCGUGCUCACCGUCACUGGAUUCAGGCAUUAUGCGUGCUAGGCACCAUCAGCCAGAGUGCUGCAUGUGGAAAGGGGACCCCUGUCUCCCACACUGCCAACUCAUACUUACCUGGCAGGGGGAUACCAUGAUCACGAAGGUGGUUCGCCCAGGGCGAGGCUCAGCCAUUGCACUGCGGUUGUGCUGACCCCUGUGAAUUCCCCACAUGCGGGAAUCUCAACUGCAUAAUUUGUGGUAGUGGGGGACUGCGUUCGCGCUCUCCCCU